rnacentral:miRNA from 1 species
UGUAUUAGGUUGAUGCAAAAGUAUUUGUGGCUUUUGCCAUUGAAAGAAAUGGCAAAAACCACAAUUACUUUUGCACCAAACUAUACAAG